rnacentral:rRNA from 1 species
CCUACGGGAGGCAGCAGUGAGGAAUAUUGGUCAAUGGGCGAGAGCCUGAACCAGCCAAGUCGCGUGAGGGAGUACUGCCCUAUGGGUUGUAAACCUCUUUUGUCGGGGAGCAAAAGCCGGACGUGUCCGGCUGUGAGAGUACCCGAAGAAAAAGCAUCGGCUAACUCCGUGCCAGCAGCCGCGGUAAUACGGAGGAUGCGAGCGUUAUCCGGAUUUAUUGGGGUGAAGGGGUGCGCAGGCGGAUUUUUAAGUCAGCGGUCAAAUCGUGGGGCUAAACCCCAUCCAGCCGUUGAAACUGGGGAUCUAGAGUGUGCGAGAGGUAUGCGGAAGGCGUGGUGUAGCGGUGAAAUGCAUAGAUAUCACGCAGAACCCCGAUGGCGAAGGCAGCAUACCGGUGCACAACUGACGCUCAGGCACGAAAGCGUGGGUAUCGAACAGGAUUAGAUACCCUGGUAGUC